rnacentral:rRNA from 1 species
AGCGAACGCUGGCGGCAGGCUUAACACAUGCAAGUCGAGCGGGCCUUUCGGGGUCAGCGGCGGACGGGUGAGUAACGCGUGGGAACGUGCCCUCUGGUUCGGAAUAACUCAGGGAAACUUGAGCUAAUACCGGAUACGCCCUUUUGGGGAAAGGCUUGCUGCCGGAGGAUCGGCCCGCGUCUGAUUAGCUAGUUGGUGAGGUAACGGCUCACCAAGGCGACGAUCAGUAGCUGGUCUGAGAGGAUGCUCAGCCACACUGGGACUGAGACACGGCCCAGACUCCUACGGGAGGCAGCAGUGGGGAAUAUUGGACAAUGGGCGCAAGCCUGAUCCAGCCAUGCCGCGUGAGUGAUGAAGGCCUUAGGGUUGUAAAGCUCUUUUAUCCGGGACGAUAAUGACGGUACCGGAGGAAUAAGCCCCGGCUAACUUCGUG